UACAGAGGGGGCCAGCGUUAUUCGGAAUUAUUGGGCGUAAAGGGCGCGUAGGCGGCCAUGCGUGUCUUCCGUGAAAUCCCUCGGCUUAACUGAGGACGUGCGGAAGAAACUGCAAGGCUUGAGUCCGGGAGAGGGGGGUGGAAUUCCCAGUGUAGCGGUGAAAUGCGUAGAUAUUGGGAGGAACGCCGGUGGCGAAGGCGGCCCCCUGGACCGGUACUGACGCUGAGGCGCGAAAGCGUGGGUAGCAAACGGG
rnacentral:rRNA from 1 species